GACGAACGCUGGCGGCGUGCUUAACACAUGCAAGUCGAACGAGUGGCGAACGGGGGAGUAAUACGUGGGUAACCUGCCCUCUUUUUUGGAUAAGCCUUGGAAACGGGGUCUAAUACUGAAUAAAUGGGGAUGGGCUCGAGGCCUAUCAGCUUGUUGGUGGGGUGAUGGCCUACCAAGGCGGUGACGGGUAGCCGGCCUGAGAGGGUGGUCGGGCAAAUUGGGACUGAGAUACGGCCCAGGCUCCUACGGGAGGCAGCAGGGGGGAAUCUUCCGCAAUGGGCGAAAAUCUGGCGGAGCAACGCCGCGUGAGUGAUGACGGCCUUCGGGUUGUAAAGCUAUGUUAAUCGGGACGCGGUACCGGAAUAGAAAGCCACGGCUAACUACGUGCCAGCAGCCGCGGUAAUUC
rnacentral:rRNA from 1 species